AGAGUUUGAUCCUGGCUCAGGACGAACGCUGGCGGCGUGCCUAACACAUGCAAGUCGAACGGAACUGUUUUGAAAGAUUUCUUCGGAAUGAAUUUAAUUUAGUUUAGUGGCGGACGGGUGAGUAACGCGUGAGUAACCUGCCUUCAAGAGGGGGAUAACAUUCUGAAAAGAAUGCUAAUACCGCAUGACAUAUCGGAAUCACAUGAUUUUGAUAUCAAAGAUUUUAUCGCUUGAAGAUGGACUCGCGUCCGAUUAGUUAGUUGGUGAGGUAACGGCUCACCAAGACUGCGAUCGGUAGCCGGACUGAGAGGUUGAACGGCCACAUUGGGACUGAGACACGGCCCAGACUCCUACGGGAGGCAGCAGUGGGGGAUAUUGCGCAAUGGGGGCAACCCUGACGCAGCAACGCCGCGUGAAGGAUGAAGGUUUUCGGAUUGUAAACUUCUUUUAUUAAGGACGAAACUUGACGGUACUUAAUGAAUAAGCUCCGGCUAACUACGUGCCAGCAGCCGCGGUAAUACGUAGGGAGCAAGCGUUGUCCGGAUUUACUGGGUGUAAAGGGUGCGUAGGCGGCUUUGCAAGUCAGAUGUGAAAUCUAUGGGCUCAACCCAUAAACUGCAUUUGAAACUGUAGAGCUUGAGUGAAGUAGAGGCAGGCGGAAUUCCCCGUGUAGCGGUGAAAUGCGUAGAGAUGGGGAGGAACACCAGUGGCGAAGGCGGCCUGCUGGGCUUUAACUGACGCUGAGGCACGAAAGCGUGGGUAGCAAACAGGAUUAGAUACCCUGGUAGUCCACGCUGUAAACG
rnacentral:rRNA from 1 species